rnacentral:sRNA from 6 species
UAUCUCUCUGUACAGGGAAGGAUGAGAAUCUUCGAUUAAGGUUCGACUCGAGCGGAAGCGAGAGAAUGUUGCCAACGGCAACGGCCCGAAGGGCGCGACGCGCCGAGUCAUCCUUCCCCCACCACAA